CCUACGGGUGGCAGCAGUGAGGAAUAUUGGUCAAUGGACGAGAGUCUGAACCAGCCAAGUAGCGUGAAGGAUGACUGCCCUAUGGGCUGUAAACUUUUUUUAUAAAGGAAUAAAACGAGGCACGUGUGCCUUUUCGCAUGUACUUUAUGAAUAAGGACCGGCUAACUCCGGGCCAGCAGCCGCGGUAAUACGGAGGAUCCGAGCGUUACCCGGAUUUAUUGGGUUUAAAGGGAGCGUAGAUGGGUUGUUAAGUCAGUUGUGAAAGUUUGCGGCUCAACCGUAAAAUUGCAAUUGAUACUGGCAGUCUUGAGUACAGUUGAGGUAGGCGGAAUUCGUGGUGUAGCGGUGAAAUGCUUAGAUAUCACGAGGAACCCCGAUUGCGAAGGCAGCUUGCUAAACUGUGACUGACAUUGAUGCUCGAAAGUGUGGGUAUCAAACAGGAUUAGAUACCCUGGUAGUC
rnacentral:rRNA from 1 species